ACGGAAGGCAGCAGUGAGGAAUAUUGGUCAAUGGUCGGAAGACUGAACCAGCCAAGUCGCGUGCAGGAAGACGGUCCUAUGGAUUGUAAACUGCUUUUGUACGGGAAUAGUGCAGGACGUGUCCUGUUUGGAAUGUACCGUAAGAAUAGGGGUCGGCUAACUCCGUGCCAGCAGCCGCGGUAAUACGGAGGACCCGAGCGUUAUCCGGAUUUAUUGGGUUUAAAGGGUGCGCAGGCGGAGGAUUAAGUCAGCGGUGAAAUUCUCAUGCUCAACAUGAGAACUGCCAUUGAUACUGGUCCCCUUGAGAGAUGUCGAGGAUGGCGGAAUGUGAUGUGUAGCGGUGAAAUGCUUAGAUAUGUCACAGAACACCGAUUGCGAAGGCAGCUGUCCAGAGAUCAUCUGACGCUCAGGCACGAAAGCAUGGGUAUCAAACAGGAUUAGAUACCCUGGUA
rnacentral:rRNA from 1 species